rnacentral:rRNA from 1 species
GUCUACGGCCAUGCCACCCUGAAAAGGCCUGAUUCCGUCUGAUCCCGGAAGCUGAGCAGUGUCGGGCCUGGUUAGUACUUGGAUGAGAGACCACCUAGGAAGACCAGGUGCUGCAGGCG